AGAGCAUGCGUGUCAAUGUCACGCUUUGCCUCCUCAAGGCGUGAAAAUGACACGCAUUUAUGAGGAUGAUAACCAAUAGGGGGCGAUAAUUUCUUAUUGCCAACAACUUCAACAAGAGAAGCGACGCAGUGAUAUGCGUUCUCUGGAGCUCCAUGGGUCCGGUCAGGACCCACCACCCUUCCCUGUUCACCCACAGUUUAUACUUAUUCUUAGAAAACCAACGGCUCUUUUAAGAGCCACUUCAAUAGACCCUUUUACAGCCCACGUGAUCAAAUAGCCUGCGUGCGCAUUUUGGCAACGGAAGUGAUGUUAUUUCCCAGUGGUUCUAACGUGUAAGCAACUCAGAAAGUUUAUUAAAACGAUUUCCCCACAUCAAAACGUCUGGUUGUAGCAUUUGGUUGCACUAAUAUAAUAUAUGUUUAGUAUUUGGCCAUCUUCUAACGUCUUCUACCCACUCCACUAUAGUACACGGAUUUGGUAACUGUGUAGAAGAUAAGUCAACUUUUUAAACUAACUUUCUCUGUCUGUGUUGCUUCACUGCUGAUUCUUGCCGUGCUUCCGUUGCCAAACUGCGUGCGCAUACGUUGCCACGUCAUCAUUGUGUACAAACAGUAAAAGGGUCACUCACUCACUCACUCUUUCGCAAGCUUCUCUGUUUUCAAGUAUUGUAAUUUUAUUCAUUUUACUCUCUCUCUCACUGUCCAAAACACUUAUCCUAUGCCUCUUUGUCUGACCAAUGUAGUAUUGUUAAAAUGGCUGCUGAGCAAGACAGAGGGAGAGCAAAGGGUGUUAUUUUCAUAGCAGACAUGCUUCUUGCUCAAAUCAAGGCAAAGGAACCCAAGGGCAAAGCAACAGCCAUUAAAGGGAGUACAUUUAAUGUCAGAUAGGUGGAGAAAAUGCUGAAGGAGGUCCACUACUAAAAAGCAGCAGAAGUGAAGAGAUACAAAGCUUCAGCUACAGUCUGUUUAUUGCCUACAGUGAGACCUCCACAUUUCUGCACUUGUGAUCAUGCAAACAUCCAGUGUAGGGCACCUCACCUGCCCGGCAUGUACACCCAACAAUGCUUGCUCUUUGUGCAGAUGGCAACAGAAAAACCUACAGAUUCCGUCAGUCAAAAGAAAGGAGCUUCAAGCAGCCACAAACGGAGAGUUCUUUUGAACAGAUAUUGCUUGCAAGUAUUGGCCAUACCUUGAGAAGGCGUCAGUCUCCAUGUUGGAACUCAGACCUUUACUGCAGAUGAGACCUUUCCUUUCUGUCAUGCAUGCCAAGGCUCAUUCAACCAAGUGUCAGAUAAUCUGGCAAAAAUCAGGAAGGUGCUGGUACAACUGCAGUUGAGGAGGUCGAAAUGGUCAACAGCUACCUGUCUCGUUGUGGCCUCACAACCAACCAGGAAUGACAUGCUAACUGUCCAUGCUAUUGGGUGGAACCAACGGAAGCAAGAAGGCCUUCAGCAUUAUCCAGCAGAUACAUCAAGAAAGGCUGAGUCUCAGAGACGGGAAGAUUUGAGCAGUGAACUGGGGUGUCCUGAGAACAUUGUGAAUCAGUGGGUACAAGAUGUCAGACAAAAGGCUACUGAUGGAUUUGGUAGGUACCAGAUGUGAUGACCUACACAACCUUCAGAAAUGAAUUGAACAAAUGUUUCUUAGUCUUCAUCGAAAAGCCAGCCUUUAUAAUCACACUGAAUCCAGCAACACCCUCACCAAGAAGAUUUCAAAAGUGCGCCUUCAAGAAGCAAAGAUCAUUGUGAUGAGGGAGAUGAGACACCACUGCACCGCACCUAUCUCAGAAGCCUGGCUAGGAACAUCAGGAAAAUGAUAUCAGAAAUGUCUUCAGGCAAAAACAGUGGUAAGAGGUUAACUUUUAUUACCAUCUUGC